CAGACAACAGGAACAACAACACAGAGGGUCUACAAAUACUACCAACAGCAUAGGAGUAUCAUUCUUUGAUUAAAACCAAUACACCAAGAGGAAUAUCAUAAAACAUCUCGGAACUACAUUUAAACAAAAACAAAACAUCUGAUAGCCAUUUGAGCAUGGAAAUAAUUAUAACAUUUGAUUCGGAGGACUAAAGCAGGAGCAACUAUCUCUGUUCACAUACUGGAACCAACCAAGGAGUAUCUGAAAAGCAGUCAUUACAUAAGACAUGACGACGACACAGGUUGACGUGGAAGUACCCACGAUGCGAACCGUCUUUAAAUGAAAUAUAAGACACCACAUUGGCGGAAGGUACUGGCGUCAAGUGGAAGAUAUAUUAAAAAAAAAAACCAUAACAAGGUACAGAGAUACAAGACAUUAAAAACAAGAAUGCAACACUGUAGAAGGGUACAAAAAUAUAAUACUACAAAUGUUUGAUAUAAUAAAUUUACACUUUUACA